rnacentral:lncRNA from 1 species
UUUGCGAGGGGCCUCCGUGUGCCAAAAAUAGGCCGCGGCCAAAGCCGCGCCCAAAAAUAACCGCCCGAAGGCCGGGGCGCCAAGUUCGUCCAGCGGAAAAAGGCCACAAAAACGGGUGGGCUAUAGCCUUGGGGGGUGGGGCUGGCCAACUUCGUCCGCCGGAUUCGGAAUGCCGCAAAACUUUGCGAGGAGCCUCCGUGUGUAAAAACUAGGUCGCGGGCAAAGCCGCGCCCAAAAAUAACCGCCCGAAGGCAGGGGCGCCAAAUUCGUCCAGCGGAAAAAGGCCACAAAAACGGGUGGGCUAUAGCCAUGGGGGGUGGGGCUGGCCAACUUCGUCCGCCGGAUUCGGAAUGCCGCAAAACUUUGCGAGGAGCCUCCGUGUGUCAAAACUAGGUCGCGGGCAAAGCCGCGCCCAAAAAUAACCGCCCGAAGGCAGGGGCGCCAAAUUCGUCCAGCGGAAAAAGGCCACAAAAACGGGUGGGCUAUAACCAUGGGGGGUGGGGCUGGCCAACUUCGUCCGCCGGACUCGGAAUGCCGCGAGACUUUUCGAGGGGCCUCCGUGUGCC